GCAGUGGGGAAUAUUGCACAAUGGGCGAAAGCCUGAUGCAGCGACGCCGCGUGAGGGAUGACGGCCUUCGGGUUGUAAACCUCUUUCACCAGGGACGAAGCUAACGUGACGGUACCUGGAGAAGAAGCACCGGCUAACUACGUGCCAGCAGCCGCGGUAAUACGUAGGGUGCGAGCGUUGUCCGGAAUUAUUGGGCGUAAAGAGCUUGUAGGCGGUUUGUCGCGUCUGCUGUGAAAGACCGGGGCUUAACUCCGGUUCUGCAGUGGGUACGGGCAGGCUAGAGUAUGGUAGGGGAGACUGGAAUUCCUGGUGUAGCGGUGAAAUGCGCAGAUAUCAGGAGGAACACCGAUGGCGAAGGCAGGUCUCUGGGCCAUUACUGACGCUGAGAAGCGAAAGCAUGGGGAGCGAACAGGAUUAGAUACCCUGGUAGUCCAUGCCGUAAACGUUGGGCGCUAGGUGUGGGACUCAUUCCACGAGUUCCGUGCCGCAGCUAACGCAUUAAGCGCCCCGCCUGGGGAGUACGGCCGCAAGGCUAAAACUCAAAGGAAUUGACGGGGGCCCGCACAAGCGGCGGAGCAUGCGGAUUAAUUCGAUGCAACGCGAAGAACCUUACCAAGGCUUGACAUACACCGGAAUGUGCCAGAGAUGGUGCAGCCUUUUUGGCUGGUGUACA
rnacentral:rRNA from 1 species